AUACUUACCCGGCAGGAGAGAUACAUGAUCACGAAGGUGGGUUUCCCAGGGCGAGGUUUAUCCAUUGCACAGCUUAUCCAUGUCCUGACCCCUGCGAUUUCCCCAAGUGUGGGAAACUCGACCGCACAAUUUGUGGUAGUGGGGGACUGCGUUCGUGCGCUCCCCUG